rnacentral:rRNA from 1 species
AGAGUUUGAUCAUGGCUCAGAGUGAACGCUGGCGGCGUGCUUAACACAUGCAAGUCGAACGAGAACAGAAGAGAGCUUGCUCUCUUGCUGCUAAGUGGCGCACGGGUGAGUAAUAUAUAGGUAAUAUGCCUCUUACUAAGGGAUAAUUGUUGGAAACGACUUGUAAUACCUUAUAUGCCUUUUGAACAUAAGUUCGUAAAGGGAAAGAUUUAUCGGUAAGAGAUUAGCCUGUACGGUAUCAGAUAGUUGGUGGGGUAAUGGCCUACCAAGUCUAUGACACCUAACUGGUUUGAGAGGAUGAUCAGUCACACUGGAACUGAGACACGGUCCAGACUCCUACGGGAGGCAGCAGUGGGGAAUAUUGCACAAUGGACGAAAGUCUGAUGCAGCAACGCCGCGUGGAGGAUGACACAUUUCGGUGCGUAAACUCCUUUUAUAUGAGAAGAUAAUGACGGUAUCAUAUGAAUAAGCACCGGCUAACUCCGUGCCAGCAGCCGCGGUAAUACGGGGGGUGCAAGCGUUACUCGGAAUCACUGGGCGUAAAGAGCAUGUAGGCGGGUGAAUAAGUUGGAAGUGAAAUCCUAUAGCUUAACUAUAGAACUGCUUCCAAAACUGUUCACCUAGAGUAUGGGAGAGGUAGAUGGAAUUUCUGGUGUAGGGGUAAAAUCCGUAGAGAUCAGAAGGAAUACCGAUUGCGAAGGCGAUCUACUGGAACAUUACUGACGCUCAGAUGCGAAAGCGUGGGGAGCAAACAGGAUUAGAUACCCUGGUAGUCCACGCCCUAAACGAUGUACACUAGUUGUUGCUAUACUAGAUAUGGCAGUAAUGCAGUUAACACUUUA